rfam:Pteropus alecto contig22945, whole genome shotgun sequence.
GUCUACGGCCAUGCCACUCUGAACAGACCCAAUCCUGUCUGAUCUCAGAAGCUAAGCAGGAUCGGGCAUGGUUAGUACUUGGAUGGGAGACCACCUAAGAAGACAAGUUGCUGUAGACA